rnacentral:lncRNA from 1 species
ACUAUACCAUUACACAAGAAGGACAAGCCUCAAUUCGCCUUCUCUGUGCCUUCUAUUAAUCAGAGAGAGCCUGUCUCUUGUGAUCAAUGAAAAGUUUUAUUACCCCAGGCAUGCUCAACAGUCCUACGUUAUGUCAGCAUUUUGUAGGAAAAGCAUUGAAGGAGCCUCGGAAUAUGUUUUCCACCACCUACAUCAUUCAUUAUAUGGAUAAUAUUGUUUUGGCCACUCCUACAGAUCAAGUAUUAUACCAGUUAUUCAGAGAAAUAAAAUGGGCUUUAACUAAAUGGAAUCUCAAAAUAGCUCCUGAAAAGGUACAAACAACCUCCUCAUACCAAUACUUAGAUACUACUGUUACUGAAAAAAGUAUUCAGCCUCAGAAAGUAGCUCUUCGUAAGAACAAAUUACAAACUCUGAAUAACUUAGGGGAUAUUAAUUGGCUGCGCCCAAUGCUAGGUAUUGCUUCUUAUCAACUCACUCAUGUUUAUCAAACCCUCCAAGGAGAUUCUUCAUUAGAUUCCCCUCGGCAACUUACUAAGGAGGCAGAAGCUGAAUUACAGCUUGUAGAAAGAUGCUUCAGCAACGACAUGCCUCCUGGCUACAACCACAAAAGUCUUUGGUUUUGUUUAUUCUUCCUACCCCCCAUUCUCCAUCAGGACUUUUAGCUCAAUUCAUAGACAAAACUAUAAUGGUAAUAGAAUGGCUUUUUUUAUCCAGUCAAACAGUAAAAUCUUUGCAAGUUUAUCUUGCUUUAGUCACACAACUUAUAACAAUAGGCAGGCAUAGAUCAAAAAUGCUUACAGGAUAUGAUCCUGAUAAAAUUAUUGUUACCUUGGAUUCCCAACAACAGGCUGCGGCCUGGGAGAUGUCCACUGCAUGGCAAAUCACUUUCGCAGAUUUUGUAGAAAUAAUAGAUAACCAUUAUCCAUCAGACAAAAUUUUGCAGUUUUAUAAAAUUCACCCUUUUAUUCCCCCUGUGAUUGCUCAUCACAAACCCAUUUCAGGUGGACAGACCUAUUUUACCGAUGGCUCUUCCAAAAGCCACACAGCCAUUUAUGGACCUAAAUAUACUUAAAUAAUAAAGACCCCUAGAGUUUCAGCUCAACACUCUGAAUUAAUGGCAGUUAUUCAAGUUUUAAAGCUCACAGCUUUAUUUCCUAUUAAUAUUGUCUGUAAUUCAGCCUAUGUCGUAAAUGUAGCUAGUUGCAUUAAAACUGCCACUAUCAAGAGUGUACGGACCAGCCCCACAGGGUCGGUGGGUCUCUCCCUGUGUGCGGCGACGAGAGAGUGUAGAAAUAAAGACACAAGACAAAGAGAUAAAAGGCAGCUGGGCCUGGGGGACCACUACCACCAAUGCGCGGAGACCGGUAGUGGCCCCGAAUGUCUGGCUGCGCUCUUAUUUAUUGGAUACAAAGCAAAAGGGGCAGGGUAAAGAGUGUGAGUCAUCUCCAAUGAUAGGUAAGGUCACGUGGGUCAUGUGUCCACUGGUCAGGGGGCCCUUCCCUGCCUGGCAGCCGAGGCAGAGAGGGAGAGGAGACAGAGAGAAAGACAGCUUACGCCAUUAUUUCUGCAUAUCAGGGACUAUUAGUACUUUCACUAAUUUACUACUGCUAUCUAGAAGGCAGAGCCAGGUGUACAGGAUGGAACAUGAAGGCGGACUAGGAGCGUGACCACUGAAGCACAGAAUCACAGGGAGACGGUUAGGCCUCCGGAUAACUGUGGGCGAGCCUGACUAAUGUCAGGCCCUCCACAAGAGGUGGAGGAGCAGAGUCUUCUCUAACCUCCCCCAGGGAAAGGGAGACCGCCCCCCACCCUUUCCCGGUCUGCUAAGUAGCGGGUGUUGUUCCUUGACACUUUUCGCUACCGCUAGACCACGGUCUUCCCAAACGCUGGCGUCACCACUAGACCAAGGAGCCCUCUGGUGGCCCUGUCUGGGCAUAACAGAAGGCUCGCACUCUUGUCUUCUGGUCACACCUCACUAUGUCCCCUCAGCUCCUAUCUCUGUAUGGCCUGGUUUUUCCUAGGCUAUGAUUAUAGAGCAAGGAUUAUUGUAAUAUUGGAAUAAAAAGUAAUUGCUACAAACUAAUGAUUAAUGAUAUUCAUAUAUAAUCAUAUCUAAGAUCUAUAUCUGGUAUAACUAUUCUUGUUUUAUAUUUUAUUAUACUGGAACAGCCCGUGUCCUCUGUCUCUUGCUUCGGCGCCUGGAUGGCUUGCCGCCCACACAAGAGCACCUUAAAACCAGAACUGCUUAACCUAUUUCUGAGACUCCAAAAAGCUGUUCGCUCUCAUGCUGCCCCUUUUCAUAUUUCUCAUAUCCGAUCUCACACACAACUUCCUGGGGCCACUAUCUCUAGGUAAUGAUAGAGCAGAUAAAUUCAUCAGUUCUAUAUUUCAACAAGCCCAAGCUUCCCAUGCUUUACUGCAUCAGAACAACUUGCCCUUACUCGUAUGUUUCAUCUGCCUCGCAGCCAGGCUUGAGUUAUUGUGCAAGCCUGCCCCACUUGCCAGCAUGUCCCUGGUGUUGCACCUGUGGAAGGAUGCAACCCACGAGGCUUGGCUCCAAAUGAAAUCUGGCAGAUGGAUGUUACAUAUAUAUAGCAGCCUUUGGCUAACUCCGCUAUGUUCAUGUAAUAUAGACACUUACUCCCAUAUGUUACAUGCCACAUGCCAAACUGGGGAAACAGCUGGUCAUGUCUGACGAUACUGUCUGUCGUCAUUUGCCCAUAUGGGGGUCCCUAAACAAUUUAAAACUGACAGUGGACUCGCUUAUGUUAGUCAUGCUUUCCCAAUUUUUUACAAUUGUGGGCAAUCAAUCAUAAAACAGGAAUUCCAUACAAUCCCUGAGGGCCAGGCAUUAUUGAGCGGGUACAUCAAACACUACAACGCAUGCUGAAAAAACAAAAAGGGAGAAUAGGGGACCAAUUACCACUUCAAACAAAAUUACAUUUAGCCUUGUUUACUUUAAAUUGUUUGACUCCUGGUACGGAUGGCAAGACCCCAGCAGAACGACACUGGCAACUGCUAGAGGAAAAGAGGCAAGUUUAUCCAAAAGUGUUAUGGAAAUCCCCAGAAGAAGGACAAUGGAAAGGUCCGGUGGAUUUGCUGACGUGGGGACGAGGGUAUGCUUGUGUUUUUACAGGAGAUGGACAAACCGUGUGGGUGCCCUCCAGGUGUGUGUGACCAUGGAACGGGAGACCGGAGGGAUCCAUGGUAUUCAACCGUGGGCCUGUUACCUCCAGUACGAGCCAUGAGCCAGCGGAAUCUGAAUGCAAAGACAGAACAAGGGCCGACCGGAGUCACAAUGACAUCCAACCCCAUAACAUGGGGACAGAUCAAGAAAACGACACAAGAAGCUGAGAAACUACUGGAGCGCCAGGGUCAGGCAAAAACCCCUGACUCCAUGUUCUUGGCCAUGCUAGCUGUAGUGUCCUGUGCGUCUAUAGGAUCGGGUGAACCACCAACCGGCAAUUGAAAGCUGCACAGCCUGAAAUUACCUUUAUUCAAUUAAUGCAAAAACAAAAGGGGAGAUGUUGGAGGCCGAAGGAAUGAGGGUCGUGACCAACUCAGUAUACCACUGGAGGCUCUGUGAGCAAACAGCAAACUGUUCUCAUGAAAGCAGGAUGUUGGCGAACUGACAAACUCUGUCUGCCGCCAGAAGGAAUGCUGGGGGCAGUCAUGUCCCAGGUCCCGUGCUCCUUGAGGUUAUCCACAGGAACAUCCAGAACCUGUUGAACAAAGAAAGGAAUCAUGUGGGCCUGUGUUAAAUCAAAUAGCUGACCGACAGUUAUCCCUUCCUCCCUAUUCACUCUACCUAAUAAAUAUGAAGGGCUGUAAAAGCUCAGGUCCCUGUUCCCUAAUAUCAAGGAGCCCCCUGACCCCUUCUUUCAAACAG